AGGACGAACGCUGGCGGCGUGCUUAACACAUGCAAGUCGAGCGGAAAGGCCCUUCGGGGUACUCGAGCGGCGAACGGGUGAGUAACACGUGAGUAAUCUGCCCCUAGCUCUGGGAUAGCUCCGGGAAACCGGGAUUAAUACUGGAUACGACCACCUUAGACAUCUUUUGUGGUGGAAAGAAUUUCGGCUAGGGAUGAGCUCGCGGCCUAUCAGCUUGUUGGUGGGGUAACGCCUACCAAGGCGACGACGGGUAGCCGGCCUGAGAGGGCGACCGGCCACACUGGGACUGAGACACGGCCCAGACUCCUACGGGAGGCAGCAGUGGGAAUAUUGCGCAAUGGGCGAAAGCCUGACGCAGCGACGCCGCGUGGGGGAUGAAGGCCUUCGGGUUGUAAACCCCUUUCGACCCGGACGAUAAUGACGGUACGGGUGGAAGAAGCCCCGGCUAACUUCGUGCCAGCAGCCGC
rnacentral:rRNA from 1 species